rnacentral:rRNA from 1 species
AGCUUGCUGUUUCGCUGACGAGUGGCGGACGGGUGAGUAAUGUCUGGGAAACUGCCUGAUGGAGGGGGAUAACUACUGGAAACGGUAGCUAAUACCGCAUAACGUCGCAAGACCAAAGAGGGGGACCCUCGGGCCUCUUGCCAUCGGAUGUGCCCAGAUGGGAUUAGCUUGUUGGUGGGGUAACGGCUCACCAAGGCGACGAUCCCUAGCUGGUCUGAGAGGAUGACCAGCCACACUGGAACUGAGACACGGUCCAGACUCCUACGGG